GGCAGUUCUUGGGUGAGGCACCCCGGUAUCGUGCUCCCUCCUCUCUGGUUCCGGGGUGCAUCACCUGAGAAAUGCC
rfam:Myotis davidii contig227193, whole genome shotgun sequence.